UCUUUAAAUUGAAGGGUCUUAAUUUUUUUUGUAGUACAUACUAUAUACAAGAAAGAAUCCUUCAUCAUGCUAUACAGUCGACAUAUGUCAAGUCACCAACAGUUACGCGUCCUCGUGGAACAACUGCAGCGAGAAGCUAAUAUAGACCGCAUGAAAACCUCGGAAGCAAUCAACCAUCUCAAGAAGAUAUCUGGAGAGAUGAUCUUGGUUAUGUGUGAGCACCGCGCUGAUGCCCCUGUGAUUAUUGCGACAGAG